GUAUUUGUAGCUUUCUCAAGUUGGUAGAGCUUUGCGCUAACAAUGCAAAGGCCGUGGGUUCAAAUCCCAGGGAAAGCA